CGUGCCUCAGGGUUCCGUGACGGGUGGACCGGGCGUGAUCGUAGGCCGUCAGCGGGUGGUUUCGUCUGCAUUGGAGUGCGUCCUCUUGGCAUCAGGGGAGUCCGUACCUGCCUGUCGGCGUCUUCGGCCACGGGGCUGGUUCAUGCGCCUCCCUGGAGUUCUUCACAACAUCUGAUCUACCUGGACGUCGAGCACCCGUGCAGCCUGCCUCUGUGUUCAUGAUGGUUAGUGUUAAACCUAAAUAAUUUUUGUGGUUAUUAGGGAAUAAUCCCCGCUCCUUUCUAGAUGUACAGUUGCACACUUCCAGCAACCGUCACGUCGGUUCCUGGAAUGGCAUCUCUAUGGACCAUCGUGUCCCUCCGAGGCAACUGUUCCCAUUGUAUAUAAGUGCUCAUUCAUCGUCAAUAAAGUGUGGUUCGAGUCAUUUGUUCCUUUGUCUCUCUCGAUACAAUUCUAUUCAUCACACAUUAUCAGCACGCUCCCGACUGAGCGAUUCCAGCGUGGAGAGCCCUUCCCCGGCGGCGGCGGCCAAGGCCACGGCUCUCAUCCGACCCUCUGCAGCGACUCCCUCCGCCAACGGCGGCGCCCAUAUCGACGGUCUUCGUCAGCACGGUCGUCUAUGACGACAACGCUCUCGGGCGUGGCGGCACCGGAGCGGCCAAGGACAAGGCCAUCCAACCUUCCAGCGCGGGCGGACCAUGAGCGGCCGUGGUGGCUGUAGCGGCGACGCCCUCGGGCGUGGAAAACGGCGGCCCUCACCCCGGCAGAAGAGCUUCCAUGCGGCAACCUCGCCUCGUGAAUGAAGAACAGGGCAUUGGCGUCCAUCUAUCUGGAAAGAUCGAGAGGAAAAUCAAGGGAUCAAGGAAUUAAUCGGAGUCAUACCUUGAUUUCAUUGCUACAAGGUGCUUCUUUCCGAUUUAUUAACGCAUAUACUAAUUGCUAUCUGAAAUUAGUACCUGUAGCCCUCGUCAUUGCAGCGCACGCAUCGGCUGCCCUCAGCCAUGCGACAACACAGAGGCAUCGAGCCCUUGACGCACCAGCGGCCGGCGUCGGCGAAGACGACUAGCGCAGGGCCGCGCCUCACGCCCUCGUCGCCACGCGGUCGUCCGCGCUGCUGGACUCGCGCCCUCCGCGCCGCCGUGGCAACAAGCGGCAAUGACCUCCGGCCGGCAAGCUUAUCUCAAGUGGCCGCGACGGCGUUGGUGGUUUGCUACGAAUCAAUCGAUUGGGUUUUAACCACACGAACAGAUAGAGAGAUAGUGAAUCUUAUCCUUUUGUGACACUUCAAUUUAGUCUUCCAACUUUAUUGUAUGUCCGGAUAAGCCCUUGCAUUUCUUCCGUUGGGACCUCUGGCUUGACGUGUCUUGCGGAUUAGUCCAUAGAUUAUUCUGUACGAUGCAAAUCAGCCUACGGCUUACUGUAAGUUGCAGUUUAGGCUUUCUCUCUACUGCAAAUUUUACUUUGAAAGAUCUCAUAUCUCUUUAUAUCACAUUUACAAUAUGUAAAUGAUGAUUUCAGAUAUACUUUGUGAAAAUGGGACAUGUUCAAUGUAUUUGCUCUCUAGCAAUUCCUAUAACAUGUUAUGCAUUGCCAUUGAGAUUACGUUUUCUCGCACAACAAUAUUGAUUUGCGAUUGAGGAAAAAAUCUCACAAAAUAAUUGAAGUUGAGAUCGAUUUUCUCUCGCAAAAUAUUAGUUCACUUCACUAAAUUAUCUUGCAAUUUGAUACAAGAUCUCAUUUAAUUUGAGAUCUAUACAAUUCAAGUUUUUCACUUGAGCAUCAAGUUUGCAACAUCAUUAGUGUUCAUUGCAAUAGUAGUGUAUAUCUAUUGAGUAUCGAGAUGUAUUCAGAUCUUAAGUUGAUGUAACAUAUUUUCACGUUUAUCACGUGUUGAGAUUGAUUAUGUCCAUUUACAAUUGAGAUUUAUUAAUCUCUUACAAAGUUAAAUUCAGUACCUCUACAAUACUGUUUCUCCAUUGAGUACAAGGUAUUCCGGAAUAUUUUCAUGAUGUGUCUAUUCCAUGUUCCCACAUGUCGAGGUUAAUACGUCUAUUUGCAAUUGAGAUUUCCAAUUUCUCGCAAACACGGAUGCAAAAUUCAAGGUGAUUUCUUCAAAUUGAUGCUUGAGAUCACAAGGUAGUCAUAUGGAUCUACUGCCUACACAUAUUAUCGAUGACUAUUGAUAAAGCCUAUAUUUUGUCGUUUAGACAUUAUGAUUGCUUUACAAAGUGCUCUCCCACACAUUUUACUAAGUCAUGACAUAAGACAUCAGGAGUAAGUAUCUACUGAUUUCAUCAGAUUAUACUCUCUAUGCUGCGGAUCUAAUCUAUUUUGGAGAUUAUCUUCAUGGUGUCAUACUUAGCAAUUUGAGAUUCACACUAAUGGGUACAAGCCAACUUCUUGAAAUACCCAUUGAUUUUGCUAAGUUCAUCACAACAUCAACCAUGAUGGUCUUUAGUUUACUGGUUGUAAAUUAAUUAUCUCUGGUUUACCCAUAGAGGUAACAUAUGACUAUAGAGUUUAAGGCAUUCGCCCUCAAUGGCCACCACUGCCCUAUCUGGGCCAUGGACAUCAUGAUCGCUCUUGUGUCUCGUGGGAUAGUGUGUGCAAUCCUGGAUUCAUCUCUAGUCAGGAUCACACCGCUAACAGAAAAAUGGUGUCUUAUAUAUCAUAAGGCAUUAGAUUCAGAUCUCAGCAUCUGGUUAUUCAGUAUCAGCAAUUCAUGGGAUACAAUGAACCUCAAGGGCAAAGGUUUGAAUCUUACUUCAACCUUAAAUCCGACAUCACUAGCUGUGACGGAACCCUAUGGGCAUGGAGAAUGUGAUGGUUGAAUAUGCCUCAACCGAUAGUUUUGGAGACUAUGAAUAGUCUUUCAAUCUCCUGAGUGGUCAAUAUAAUUAAUGUCCAUUUACGAUGUUGUGACAACAACAUAAGUAUUGUUGUCAACAUAUAUUAUAUAUCACAAUAUAUUAUAUCAACACUUUGGUACAAAUACAUUUGUAUGUAUUAUAUAUAUCUGACGGUGAUUUUCAUAUUGAGAAUCUUCAUGUCUAUAUAUAGAUUUCUACGAGGGUCAAUCCGAUGAAAAAUGAUAUGUGCCUUGUGGACAUAUGCACCACAAACUCUAUACUCAGGGAAGUCCAAUGUUUCCACUCUCAUUGAGAGCAAGGAGAUAUUUUAAAAUCGCUAGACGCGAUGAGGUAUUUGUUGGCUCAACUCGAGUCAUAUUUACUAUCCCUGUGGAUACUCGAGUAACGUUAGGAUGCUUUAUUGCUUCCCAGGUUUAACUCGUACCCUACUAAACUAUGGAGGUAUCCAUCAAAGUAGUUUCCAUAGUGAAACUUAUGAUGACAACAAAGAGAAAUAACUUCUCUUUACCAUAUGCAACGAAUAUGGCAAGCACAUUCUUUGUGUAUCAUCUGGAUUGUACUACACAUACGACACAACCCGUACCACAUGUUGCGUACGAGAUAGUUUUCCAGAGUGUCUUGUACAUGACAAACUUGACAUGCUUGCUUUGGUCAUCGAGACAUUGGGUUGAAACCAAAACUAUCAGCAAUUCCAAUAGUUUAUGACUAUUAUGAUGCUAAAUUCUAACAACAUUUGGAUUUUAUGUGCACUAUAAGUGACACAGGGAAGCUAAUUUUAAGGCUCGCACACCUUAAAGUCUACGCUGAACCACUCAGACUCCUUGAAUGCAUCAAGUUGAGGUAAGUGGCUCUUCCCAUCCAUUGACUAGACUAUUCAAGUAUUCCAUGGUUCUAAGGGCCAGUUCUUUUGGGUGGCUUAAAAAAUAAACUGCCUCUCCCCAACUUAAAAAAUAAGUUGCCUCUUAAGUAUGUGCUUUAUUCACACAAAACCAUUGGCUCAUUAUCUUGACAUCGAUUUCAAGAAAAUUGAAUGGAUAACAUUGCAGAAUUCUCCUUGAGUGCCUUCUCUACGGCCCUUGGAUUGAAGUUUAGCAAUUUGUCCUAAUAUCUAGACUCAAAAUGCUUUGGUAGAAUCCUAUCCAAAGAGUUAAGCUCAUUGCAUUAUCUUUACUUUGAAAUUGCAACUUACCAACUUUACGUUGGAGCAUGCAGUUUUACAUGCUCAUGACAGAACCGCAUAAUAUCAUUCCCCUCUCUCUUUGAUAUGUCGAUAUCUACCAAGUAUUUCCUAUCUGCGGUAAUUCGGUUGCAUACCGUUAUCACUACUCGACAUACAUCAUUGGCCCCUCAACAUAUAGUUGGGAUCUAUGUGAGGAAUAACUGUAUUUCUGUCAAUACCUCGAGCCCCUCGCAUGGGGAGUUAUUCAAGGCCAGUAUGCCGAUUCAUGAGGAAUAUUUCCAGGCAUUAGGGGGAGAUUUCAAGUACCAUAAAGAAUCCCGGGAAAUUAGUGGAAUGUUCAACACAUUUCUGCCUCAAUUCCAUGUACUCAAAGAUCUUAACCAUGCGUUCAGAAGAUUUGCAACACAUUGCAAAUAACCUGUCAGAUUCAUUUACUGACUAUAAAGGUGCCACGUCUAUCCUACAAUCCUGUAAAAACAAGUCAGAAAGAGUGGAGGUACCAACUAAAACCACUCAACUCCCCGUUCAAAGCAACAUGGGGAGAAGUAUGGCAAAGGUACAUCAGGAUUCAACUUCUUGCAAGCAAGGGUAUCAAGGCCUCUGAAUCAGUAAAUGCAAGUCAACUUUACGUUGACAGACACCUAAUGGAUAGUAUACACCCAGUGGAUGGAAAACCUCCACCAACCAAGGUCAUAGUGAACACAAUGACCGGGACAUUGGAAUACCCAACUCAAUCGCAUUGGGAAAUCGCGGGCAGUCACCAUGGGUAACGAUAUUUCCAUCAACUGUAUAUAUACAUAUAUAGAUUCUGGAGAACGAUAUGACCAAAAGUCUACAAAUGUCGACAUAUAUUUCUCAACUAGAUUGCCAAAUCCUUUCAAAUGAAUUCAGAUCCAAAUACCAUUACCAUGGCAAAGUGUGAACAACACUCAGACUGAACUCAAGCAAAGGGUAUAAUCUAGGUAGAAAUAAUCAUGCUCGAUAAUGGGAAGGUAUUCAUAAGCAAUAUCUACACCAGUUUUCUUCUGGAAAUAGAAUUGAGAACAACGAGGUGGUGAAACAAAGAGCAAGUAUUGUAGCACAAGGGUUCACGCAGAUACCCAACUAUUCUCCAGAGGUGGAAUCUUUCAGAUAACUUUAUCAUUGGCAGUACAAAAUCAUCUAUCUCUGUAGUUGAUAGAUGUAGUGAUUACAUAUCCAUGUGGAUCACUAGAUUCAGACAUAUAUGAUUGAUUCCCGAUGGAAUCUCAAUUCUAAAUCGAAAUACAAAAUGCAACAUACAUUGUGUAAAAUCAGUAAGUCACCAUACGACUUAUUGUUGUCGGUACAUUUGGUACAACCGACGUAGUGAGUUCCUUAUUCACAAGAAUUACUCCUACAAUGAUGAUUAUCCAUGUUUGUGUGUCUGCAAUGACGACACUUCAUCUAAAUGACAGAGUUUAAAAUGAAGGAUUUGUGUAAACCAAAAUACCGCUCGUUACAACAAAUUGAGCACCUUCAUUCAUACAUUAUGGUAUACUAUGUUGUCUAUAUCCACAAUAUAUUGGAGAAAUUCAUUGUGGGCAAAUCUUAUCCAUCCAUAACUCUCAUGGUAGUUCAUUCUCUAAACGUAGAGAAAGAUCUAUUUAGACCAAGAGAUGAUGAAAGUGAGAUAUUGAGACUCAACGUUCCAUAAUGCCAUUGGAUUCACUAAGCACAAUUGGUUGGUACUCAAGAAUAUCUUUCGAUAUCUCCAAGGCAUCAAACAUCUUGUCCUAGUUUUUCGGCUUCACAUAAAUGUGAACACCAAUAUCAUUGGAUACAUCGAUUAGAUCCCCACUAUGUCAGAUUGUAGACAAGAUUAGUGUUCCUACUAGGUGUGGUAGGCCUCUCAUGAAGAGUCUUCGAAACAGUCCUCAUGGCUACAUCGACCAACCAUUAUCUCAACGAUAAUGUUUCUUAUGUUGCCUGGAUGCAAACUGGUUACAUAAUAAGCAAUAUCACUAUAUUGCAUAUCUUGCAAGUCAAAUCAUGCAACUGAUUUGUUCACCAAGUCUCUACCAACUUCUAUGUUCCAGAAAUGUGUUCAUGGAAUUGGUAUAUGACGAAUUCGGAAUAUGCAAGAAUCAGGGGGAGUAUCUUCCUGUUUUUAAUGAGUAGUAUCAACAUGAGAUCAUAUGUCAUACUUCCUGUUUUCCCCACCGUUUUUUAGGAAAGUAUAUACGACAUAUUUAUUAUCCUCCAAAUUUUGUGGAUAAAAUCGAGUUAUGGAGGCAAUAAUCAUUAUAUGUUGGAUCAUUUUCUCUUUAUUUUCCCACUGGAUUUGAAGGAGUUUUACCAGCAUAUACUACACUACUCCUCAUAUUUUUCCCACAGGGUUUUUGGAGGAGACUUUAUCUGAUGAUGGACCACUAUGCAAUAAAGCGGUGAUUACAGGGAGUGUUACAACCAAAUAAUUCUUGCAGUUAUUAGGGAAUAAUCCCAGCUCCUUCCUAGAUGUGCGGUCGCACACUUCCAGCAACCGUCACGGCGGUUCCUGGAAUGGCAUCUCUACGGACCAUCAUGUCCCUCCGAGGCAACUGUUCCCAUUGUAUAUAAGUGCUCAUUCAUCAUCAAUAAAGCGUGGUUCGAAUCAUUUGUUCCCUUAUCUCUCUCGAUACAAUUCUGUUCAUCACAGAUAGACCACAGACGCGACCUGGGGCCACCGUCAUAAAGUGGCUUUCUGCGCGCCAACGCGCGCACUUUCGCGCGAUGUGCCGGUAGCGACGGGCUAGCCAGGUAUGCUUGCCAGCGUCUUCAGACCCUGUCAGGCUGGUUCGUGUGCCAGCUGGGCAUGCAUCGCGCUCGGGUGCGGUGAUGUCUUCUAGAACUAUGUCGGUGUUUCCCCAAAGAGGAAGGGAUGAUGCAGUAUAGCAAUGGUAGGUAUUUCCCUCAGUGAUGAAACCAAGGUUAUCAAACCAGUAGGAGAACCUUCUCAAACCACGUAAACAUCACCUACACACAAAUAACAAAUACUCGCAACCCGACGUGUUAAAGGGGUCGUCAAUCCCUUUCGGGUACGACACCUCAAGAUAGGCAAAUAACGUGAGAUAAAAGUGGUAGAUAGGAUAAAUAGAUCGCAAAACAAAUAAAUUGCAGCAAGGUAUUUUUGUAUUUUUGGUUUAAUAGAUCCGAAAAUAUAUGCAAAGGAAAAUAGAUCGCAAAGACAAAUAUGAUGAAAAGAGACCCCGGGGCCGUAGGUUUCACUAGUGGCUUCUCUCGAGAAAAAUAGCAAACGGUGGGAAAACAAUUACUGUUAGGCAAUUGAUAAGACUUCAAAUAAUCAUGAUGAUAUCCAAGCAUUGAUCAUUAUAUAGGCAUCAUGUCCAAGAUUAGUAGACCGACUCCUGCCUGCAUAUAGUACUAUUACUCCACACAUCGACCGCUAUCCAACAUGCAUCUAGUGUAUUAAGUUCAUGGAAAAAUGGAGCAAUGCAAUAAGAAUGAUGAUAUAAUGUAGACAAGAUCUAUUUAUGUAGAAAUAGACCCCAUACCAGAUCCGACCUUGUUAUCCUUAAUGGCAAUGAUACAUACGUGUCAGUUCCCCUUCUGUCACUGGGAUCAAGCACCGUAAGAUCGAACCCAUCACAAAGCACCUCUUCCCAUUGCGAGAUAAAUAGAUCAAGUUGGCCAAACAAAACCCAAGUAUUGGAGAAGAAAUACGAGGCUAUAAGCAAUCAUGCAUAUAAGAGAUCAAACAAGACUCAAAUAACUUUCAUGGAUAAAAACAUAGAUCUGAUCAUAGACUCAAAGUUCAUCGGAUCCCAACAAACACACCGCAAAAGGGCUUACAUCAUAUGGAUCUCCAAGAGACCAUUGUAUUGAUAAUCAAGAGAGAUAGAGGGAGAGGAAGCCAUCUAGCUACUAACUACGGACCCAUAGGUCUACAAAGAACUACCCACGCAUCAUCGGAGAGGCACCAAUGGAAGUGGUGAACCCCUCCGUGAUGGUGUCUAGAUUGGAUAUGGUGGUUCUGGACUCUGCGGCGGCUGGUGAUGAAGUCAUGUACCUGGGGUAGGGUCAUGGACCUGUCCAAGGUACCCUCCCCGAGGACAUCUUUAGAAGAAGCCGUCUUCCAGUCGACCUAGAGGGACUCCACUCGACGGACUGGAAGACACUCGACGAACUUGAAUACACUCGACCAUGAAGACUCACUCGACCACCAGGAGUUCAAGAUCUACUCUGUAUCCAAACGGUCUGUAAUUAAGUAGUCUUUAUGGUCAUGAUGACACUUUAUGUAAGGCGUUACCAGUAACGCCAGGCCUUAAUGUACUUUAAACCCUCCGCUACGUGGGCUAGCUGGGGUCUUGGCAUCCUCUAUAUAAGCCACCCCCUCCACUGGCAGAAGGGUUCGCACCCGUGUAACUCUCACGCAUAUAAUCCAGUCGACCGCCUCCGGGUACCGAGACGUAGGGCUGUUACUUCCUCCGAGAAGGACCUGAACUCGUAAAACACUUGCGUGAACAACUACUCCAUAGCUAGGAUCUUGCCUCUCCUUUAGUACCACCUACACUACUGUCAGACUUAGAACCACAAUAGUUGGCGCCCACCGUGGGGCAGGUGUCUUAGCGAUUUAUUGGAGAAGUUGCAGUUUUUCCGAUCGCCUUUGUCAUGGUUUCAGGCGGAGUUUUGGUCGAGGGCCGCUAGAUCCGUCUCGGCGCGCUCACGUUCAUCGCCGACGACUCUGCCUGGCUUUAGGAGGCUCCGCUCUACAUCGACGCGCUCCCAGUACGUGGAGCGACACACUUUCGCACGUGCGUCCGCUGUGUCCUCCUGCGGCAACCGUCGACCCAGUAUCGACCGGUUUUUGUGUCAUCCUUCCUCCCAGCUUCCCACCAACGCAAGCGCUCUGGUCGGUCGAGGCUUCAGCGGUGGGUGAGGCACGCGGUGGCUCGCCAGUCGACCACUGCCCAAGUCGCGGCAAUCGAGCCCGACGAAUCUCUCUACGGCCUGUUCGACUGGCUCCGCAGAGACUGCAUCCGAGUGCGACAACAGUGAUCCAGCGGUGGAGGUCCUGAUGGUUAAUGGACCAUACGCCCCACCGGCUUUUCUGGCGCCGAGGGAGGUAAUGGCUGAGGCGAUCCGUCGCAUCCCCAUGAGGAAUACCUUCUCGAGCCCCUCAAUUCGCUGCAGAGGGAAGAACUUCGCCGCCGGAACAUGGAUGCCCUUCAUACUCCUAUCAUUGGAGAAACCCCUGAGGCUCGCGCCUUGGAGGAUGCGCGCUUGGCCAACCUGGCUGAGCGCACUCGACUGGAGAACCUUCAGCGAGCACUCAACGAGCGUGCGCGACAACGAGUCCCUGACUCCAGUCGACGUCAGCUCUUCCCACCUCCGACUCAGGUAUACCGAACUCCGAUUCAGAAUUUGGCAGUUGCAGCCCAUAUAGCAGAGUCAAUUCAGCCUUCCCAGUCAGAGGCUGGCAGAGACUUGAUGCAGAUCAGAUAUUUGCUCCGGGCAGCAGGAGAUCAGAAUUCAGCUGUAUGGCAGUCGCGGAACAGGAUUCACAGCAGAUCCGUGGCAGCGAAUACGGUCCAGUCGGCUCAUAGCCCUAGAUUGCCCCCGAGGCGUGAAGGGCGUGGUGACCGGCACGAUCAAUACAGGAACCAUGAGCAGUAUGAUCACCGAUUAGAUCGCAACGAUUGACGUCGAGCGCCCACUCCUCCUCCAAGGGGUGGAUCCUAUGUGCCUCGACAGCAGGAUGAUAAGCGCCAGCACAGUGGCGGACGAAGAAUCCCAGUCGACCCCAGGGAACCGGGCUUUGAUGCGAGAUCCAUCAUCGUUCAAGGUCUGGUCGACCGGAACAGAGCUCACAGAGAGGGCAAUGACAGAGAUGUGCCCACUAGCAGCAGAGUGCAUGUCUCUGGACCAGAGUGUUUCAGCAGAGCCAUCCGAGCCGCAGUGAUUCCUCCCAACUUCAGGUUGGCGACUGGAGUCAGCAAGUUCAACGGUGAGUCUAAGCCCGAUACUUGGCUUGAAGACUACUGAGUGGGUGUCCAGAUCGGCGGCGGAAAUGACGAGGUGGCCAUGAAACAUCUGCCUCUUAUGUUGGAAGGGUCAGCCAGGGCAUGGCUGAAUCAGUUGACACCCAGCAGCAUUUACACAUGGGAGGACCUCUCCCGAGUGUUUGUCAGAACGUUCGAAGGAACGUGCAAGCGACCAGCAGGACUGACAGAGUUGCAAUCUUGUGUGCAGAAGUCGAAUGAGACUCUGAUAGAUUACAUCCAGAGAUGGAUCAGGUUGCAUCACACAGUGGAGAAUGUAUCUGAUCACCAGGCAGUCUACGCCUUCAAGGAAGGCGUAAAGUACAGAGAGCUAAGCCUGAAUUUUGGUCGAACCGGAGACAUGUCUCUGAGUCGAAUGAUGGAGAUAGCCACCAAAUAUGCCAAUGGUGAGGAAGAGGAUCGGCUCCGGAGCGGCAAGCACAAGUCAGUCGCCCAGGAAACCGGAGGAGGGAACUCCAGUCGGAAGCAAAAGUGGAAAGCCGAGCCAGCUGCUCCUGGAGAAACCUUGGCCGUGACUCAAGGAAAGUUCAAAGGAAAGCCCAAAGGACCUUGGAACCCCAAGAAAGUGAAGGGUAAAGAGGGAAAUGACAUGAUGGAUUUGCCGUGUCACAUCCACACGAAGAAAGAUGAAGAGGGUAAUUUCAUUUACCCGAAGCAUACCACUCGAUAGUGUCGACUUCUGAUACAGCAGUUCCAGGGGAAACAACCCAAGGAUAAGGAAAAGGAGUCAGACAAAGCUGAGGACAAGGGAGAUAGUGACGAGGAAUACCCUCAGGUCAAUUCUACUCUGGUGAUCUUUGCUGACGCUGAGAGCAAAAGUCGACUGAAAGUUAUAAACCGAGAGGUGAAUACGGUUGCUCCAGCAACACCCAAUUAUCUGAAGUGGUCUCAGACAGCCAUCACAUUCGACCAGUCUGAUCACCCGACGCACAUAGCCACCCCUAGGAGGCAAGCUCUGGUGGUCGACCCAGUCAUUGAGGGCACUCGACUGACUAAAGUGUUGAUGGAUGGUGGCAGUAGUUUGAAUAUACUGUACGCUGAGACGCUGAAACGGAUGGGCAUUCCGAUGUCCAGACUCAGCACAAGCAACAUGAGUUUCUAUGGAGUCAUUCCUGGCAAGAAGGCCGCAUCACUCGGCCAGAUUGCUCUCGAUGUGGUUUUUGGUGAUUCCAAGAACUUCCGCAAAGAAAAGCUGACAUUUGAGGUUGUAGACUUCCAGAGUGCCUACCACGCUAUUUUGGGCAGGCCAGCUUAUGCACGUUUUAUGGCUCGACCAUGUUACGUGUACCUCAAAUUGAAGAUGCCUGGCCCUAAGGGCGUCAUCACUAUUACUGGUAAUCACAAGAAGGCAGAAGAGUGCUUCCAGAAAGGCUCAAAGAUCCCCAAUGCUCAGAUGGUGGCAGAAGAGUGGCAGGAACACCAGAGAAAUGCGGAUCCGAGUGAUUUGUUGCGAGCCAAGAAGCCCGCUACGGAAUCAACAUUUCAGUCGUCCGGUGAGACAAAACUAGUUCACAUCCACCCGACCGACCCCAACGCUGCUCCGACUCACAUCUCCACAACACUCGACCCCAAAUAGGAAGAAGCGCUCAUCCUAUUUGGGGUCUGCCGUCCAGAAAAGGAAGGCUAUUGGCAAAGAGGUGGCUCGGCUCUUAGCAGCAGAGUUUAUCCGAGAGAUUUACCACUCCGAGUGGCUCGCCAAUGUUGUCAUGGUCCCCAAAAAGGAUAACUCACUUCGCAUGUGCAUUGAAUUUAAACAUAUCAAUUGGGCCUGCCCGAAAGAUCAUUUUCCUCUUCCCUGCAUCGAUCAAAUAGUUGACUCGACUGCGGGAUGUGAGAGACUGUCUUUCUUAGACGCCUAUUACGGAUACCAUUAGAUCCGUCUGUAUGGACCUGAUGAGAUCAAGACAGCUUUCAUCACCCCAUUUGGGUGCUUCUGUUAUGUCACCAUGCCAUUCGGCCUCAAGAAUGCCGGAGCCACAUUCAUGAGGAUGAUUCAGAAGUGUUUGCUCACUCAAAUCAGUCGAAAUGUGGAAGCAUACAUGGAUGACAUUGUGGUCAAGUCACGGAAAGGUUCCGGCCUGCUGACUGACCUCGCUGAAACAUUUGCCAACCUCAGGAGGUAUGAUAUCAAGCUUAAUCCAUCCAAGUGCACAUUCGGGGUUCCUGGCGGAAAGUUACUUGGUUUUCUCGUUUCCAAACGAGGAAUCGAUGCAAACCCAGAGAAAGUGGGCACUAUACUCCGAAUGAAACUACCUGUGCGUGUGCAUGAUGUUUAGAAGCUUGCUGGUUGCUUGGCUGCUUUAAGUCGAUUCAUCUCUCGUCUCGGUGAGAAGGCAUUGCCUCUUUACCGACUGAUGAAGAAGUCAGACAAGUUCGAGUGGACUCCUGAAGCUGACGCAGCGUUUGCAGAGUUAAAAACCCUGCUUUCCACCCAGCCGGUGCUUGCUGCCCCGAUCAGCAAAGAGCCUUUGCUGCUUUACAUUGCAGCCACAUGACAAGUCGUCAGUACAGUACUUACGGUUGAGCGAGAAGAAGAAGGGAAAACCUUCAAAGUUCAACGCCCAGUAUACUAUAUUUUUGAAGUCCUGACCCCAUCAAAGCAACGAUACCCUCAUUAUCAGAAGCUUGUAUAUGGGAUUUAUAUGACCAUGAAGAAAGUUGCUCACUACUUCUCUGACCAUACCAUCACAGUCGUCAGCGACACCCCCUUAUCAGAGAUUCUGCACAACAGAGAUGCAACUGGUCGAGUGGCAAAAUGGGCGAUUGAACUCCUUCCCCUUGAUAUCAGAUUUGAGGCAAAGAAAGCUAUCAAGUCCCAAGCAAUAGCAAAUUUCCUUGCCGAGUGGACUGAACAACAGUUACCGACUCAAGUUCACUCGGAGCACUGGACUAUGUUCUUUGAUGGCUCUAAAAUGCUGAAUGGUUCCGGUGCCGGGGUAGUGAUGGUUUCUCCCUGAGGAGAUAAGCUCAGAUACGUACUCCAGAUUCACUUUGACUCCUCCAACAACGAAGCAGAAUACGAAGCACUUUUGUAUGGGUUGCGUAUGGCCAUUUCACUCGGCGUCCGACGCCUCAUGGUCUACGGUGACUCAGAUUUGGUGGUUAACCAAGUGAUGAAGGAGUGGGACGUCAGAAGCCCAGCUAUGACUGGUUACUACAAUGCAGUCAGAAAGCUGGAGAAGAAAUUCGAGGGAUUAGAGCUCCAUCAUGUUCCCCGACUGAAAAACCAAGCAGCUGAUGACUUGGCAAAGAUAGGUUCCAAAAGAGAAGCCAUCCCGAGCGGCGUAUUUUUGGAGCAUGUUCACACGCCGUCAGUUCAAGAAGAUCCUUUCACCGAAGAAGCCCCGCAUCCAAAAAGUGCCACGGAUCCGACUGAAGUUGAGGUCCCAGCCGUGGUUGACUUAAUCAUGGAAGUUCUGGUUAUCACUCCCGACUGGGCAGUGCCUUACAUCGUGUAUAUCCUAAUGAAAGAGCUCCCAGAGAAUAAAGAAGAGGCUCAGCAGAUCGUCCAUCAAUCCAAGGCCUUUACUGUCAUGAGGGGACAAUUGUACAGAGAAAGCGCGACUGGAGUCAGCCAGAAAUGCAUAACACCGGAAGAGGGUCGAAUGAUUCUCAAGGAUAUCCACUCAGGGACCUGUGGCCAUCAUGCGUCCUCUCGGACCAUCGUGGCUAAAGCAUAUCGAGCAGGCUUUUAUUUUACUGGCCCAGAGAAUGAAGAAGAGGCUCGGCAGAUCGUCCGUCGAUCCAAGGCCUUUACUGUCAUGAGGGGACAGUUGUACAGAGAAAGCGCGACUGGAGUCAGCCAAAAAUGCAUAACACCGGAAGAGGGUCGAAUGAUUCUCAAUGAUAUCCACUCGGGGACCUGUGGCCAUCAUGCGUCCUCUCGGACCAUCGUGGCUAAAGCAUACCGAGCAGGCUUUUACUGGCCCAGAGCGAAUGAAAUGGCGAAAGAGAUAGUCGACAAAUGUGAAGGAUGUCAGUUCUACUCCAAUAUGUCACACACGCCCGCCUCAGCCUUGAAGACCAUUCCAAUCGUCUGGCCUUUCGCUGUUUGGGGGUUAGAUAUGGUUGGACCACUGAGAACUGGCAGGAGCGGCUUCACCCAUGUACUGGUGGCAGUCGACAAGUUCACCAAGUGGAUCGAAGCCAAGCCCAUUAAAAAUCUUGAUGCUGGCACUGCCAUCAGCUUCAUCAGAGAAUUGAUAUUCAGAUAUGGAGUUCCGCAUAGCAUCAUCACUGAUAAUGGGUCAAACUUCGAUUCCGAUCAGUUCAAAGCCUUCUGCGCUUCUCAAGGCACUCGAGUCGACUACGCUUCAGUCGCCCACCCCCAGUCGAAUGGACAAGCAGAAAGAGCAAACGGCCUAAUUCUCAAGGGACUAAAACCCCGGUUGAUGCGUGACCUCAAGCACGCAGCAGGCGCGUGGGUCGACGAACUUCCAUUAGUUCUUUGGGGAUUGAGGACUACUCCAAAUCGGUCGACUGGGAGAACUCUGUUCUUUGUGGUCUACGGAGCUGAAGCGGUUCUGCCAAGUGACCUACUUCACAAUGCACCGCAAGUCGAGCUCUACUCUGAAGUCGAAGCAGAACAAGCCCGACAGGACGCAGUCGACCUUCUGGAAGAAGAAAGAGAGAUGGCCAUGAUCCGAUCGGCCAUCUAUCAGCAAGACUUGUGCCGAUUCUACGCCAGAAAUAUGAAGAGCCGAGCCUUCCAGGAAGGAGACUUGGUCCUCCGAGUGGACCAACAGAAGCCGCACAAACUCGCCUCUACCUGGGAAGGCCCCUUCAUUGUUACCAAAGUUCUCCACAACGGAGCAUACCGUCUUUACAACGUCGAUCGCUAAAUUGACGAGCCACGAGCUUGGAAUGCGGAUCUGCUCCGCCCCUUUUAUACUUAAGUAUUCACUCAGAUGAGUUGUAGUAAAAGUACUUCUGUAGUUUGUUUAUCAAAGACAAGAGUUUUAUAAUUUUCCCAGUGAUUGUUGUUACUUUUGUUCACACAAAUCAGUCCCCCAGUGGGUGGCUUAGCUGCGAAUCCGUUUCGCCUAAGUUUGUAAAAAAAAUCCUUACCGGGUGGUGAGCCAGCCUCCCGCUCGGAGGCUUAGCCGCGAAUCCGUUUUGCCUAAGUUUAAACAAAAUCCUACCGAGUGGUAAGCCAGCCUUCCACUCGGAGGCUUAGCCGCGAAUCUGUUUCGCCUAAGUUUAAAACAAAAUCCUACCGAGUGGUAAGCCAGCCUUCCACUCUGAGGCUUAGCUGCAGUCCAAGUACUCGCCUAAGUUUAAACAAAAUCCUGCCGAGUGGUGAGCCAGCCUUCCACUCGGAGGCUUAGCUGCAGUCCAAGUACUCGCCUAAGUUUAAACAAAAUCCUGCCGAGUGGUGAGCCAGCCUCCCACUCGGGGGCUUAGCUGCAACCUAGUGUUCGCCUAAGUAUAAAAUACAACAUGCGCUCCGCAAGGAGGACGAAGCGCAGGUCGACUGCUACCUUCUCCUUCCGAGCUACGCCACAAAUACAACAUGCGCUCCGCAAGGAGGACGAAGCGCAUGUCGACUGCUACCUUCUCCUUCCGAGCUACGCCACAAAUACAAAAUGCGCUCUGCAAGGAGGACGAAGCGCAGGUCGACUGCUACCUUCUCCUUCCGAGCUACGCCACAAAUACAACCUGCGCUCCGCAAGGAGGACGAGGCGCAGGUCGACUCCUGCCUUCUCCUUCCGAGCUACGCCACAAAUACAACGUGCGAUCCGCAAGAAGGACGAAGCGCAUGUCGACUGCUAUCUUCUCCUUCGGAGGUACACCAUGAAAAUCCUACCGAGUGGCGAGCAAACCUCCCACUCGGGGGCUUAGCUGCAGCCCAGUGCUCGCCUAAGUUUUUAAAAAUCCCACCGAGUGGAGAGCAAACCUCCCACUUGGGGGCUUAGCUGCAGCCUAGUGCUCGCCUAAGUUUUUAAAAAUCCUAUCGAGUGGAGAGCAAACCUCCCACUCGGGGGCUUAGCUGCAGCCCAGUGCUCGCCUAAGUUUUUAAAAAUGCUACCGAAUGGANNNNNNNNNNNNNNNNNNNNNNNNNNNNNNNNNNNNNNNNNNNNNNNNNNNNNNNNNNNNNNNNNNNNNNNNNNNNNNNNNNNNNNNNNNNNNNNNNNNNNNNNNNNNNNNNNNNNNNNNNNNNNNNNNNNNNNNNNNNNNNNNNNNNNNNNNNNNNNNNNNNNNNNNNNNNNNNNNNNNNNNNNNNNNNNNNNNNNNNNNNNNNNNNNNNNNNNNNNNNNNNNNNNNNNNNNNNNNNNNNNNNNNNNNNNNNNNNNNNNNNNNNNNNNNNNNNNNNNNNNNNNNNNNNNNNNNNNNNNNNNNNNNNNNNNNNNNNNNNNNNNNNNNNNNNNNNNNNNNNNNNNNNNNNNNNNNNNNNNNNNNNNNNNNNNNNNNNNNNNNNNNNNNNNNNNNNCUCGCCUAAGUUUUUAAAAAUCCUACCGAGUGGAGAGCAAACCUCCCACUAGGGGGCUUAGCUGCAGCCCAGUGCUCGCCUAAGUUUCUAAAAUCCUACCGAGUGGAGAGCAAACCUCCCACUCAGGGGCUUAGCUGCAGCCCAGUGCUCGCCUAAGUUUUUAAAAUCCUACCGAGUGGUGAGCAAACCUCCCACUUGGGGGCUUAGUUGCAGCCCAGUGCUCGCCUAAGUUUUUAAAAAUCCUAUCAAGUGGAGAGGAAACCUCCCACUCGGGGGCUUAGCUGUAGCCCAGCGCUCGCCUAAGCAUGACGAGUGCAAGUCGAUUGCAAUUUGUGCUUUGUCCCUACCUGCAAAAGAGCAUCACAAACACUAGUAUAUAUUCCAAGCAAAGGAUGAUGAUCAUUCGAAGGCAGAAGCAAACAUAUUCAACAGCAAACCUAAGUUCAGAUAACGUCUUACGGAUCCAGAAGUGCUCAGGCACCAAGCCUGUUUGUAACGCCCCAAGACCGGAGCUUCAGAUGCCUUCCAGGGUUUCCGAGAUUCGUUGUGUGAUUUUGUUUUGUUCGUGCAUUCAUCUUUGCAUCAUGUGCAUUGCAUCAUGUCAUCAUGCCAUUUAAUUUUUUAAACUCAGCUAAAUAAAUUGUAUGGAUUUUUCGAUCCAUUUAAAUCGAGGGAUUUCACUUGUGAUUUCUCUUUAUAACAUAUUAAAGCCUCUCAAUAUUAUUAGGGAGCUAUAUUAAAAUAUUCCAUUAUUUGAAAUUGAUCAUAACACACUUGCAAAUAAUUCCCCAUGCCGUUGUUAUCUCACUUCUUGACCUCAAACCUUGCCAAUAUUUCUUUCAUCAUUUUCCGGAGCUCCACCAAAAAUCCGAACAUUUUUGGACCUUCCCAAACCCUCACUUCCAUUCAAAUCAUUUGAAUUUAAAUCAAAUGAAUUUGAAUUUAAAUCUUUCAAUCGGGGCCUUUCUAUUUUUCUUGGAACGAGCAUAUUUUGCUAGUCCGGGAAAAUUAUCUCCAUGCGCAAAUCCUUUCCCUAACCCUCUCUUUCUUUUUCUUCUCUUUAAUUGUUUUCUGCUAAAGAAAAUAUAAGAGAGAGAGGGAGAAGAGUGCCUAGCCGGCCUCUUAGGCCCAGCUCUAACCCAAGCCGGACCAGGCCAGCCCAUCUAAGCCGGCCCAAGGCCCAGCCGCCUCUAACCCUAGCCCAGCCCCCACGCACCCCAUCUCUCCCCUCGUUCCCUGCCAGCGCCGCCACCUUCGUCUCGAUUCCCAGCGCAGCGCCUGAUCCCCAUCUCCCCGAGCGAUUUCUCCCCUCCGCUCAACCCCGCAUCGUGCGAUCCCCUCUCCUGUUCCCCUCGCCGCCUCCUCCCUCCACCGGCGCCAUCCAUGCCCCGUCGCCCCUCCGAUCGCUAUGACCAGGAGCGCCGCGCCCAUUUGCCCUGCUGGCUUUGCUCAACUCCGGCGCCGCCGCAGCCAGAGCCCCGGGCCAUCCUCGUCGCCUUGCUCCUCCGCGACGCCCCUGUCGGCCCCGCGCCCGACCUCCUCCUCGCCGCCUCUAGAGCCGCUCCACCGCCUUGCUCCUCCCUCCUCACGCGUGCCUCGCGCCGGGCCUCUUCUCUCCAUCACUUGCCCUCCUACCGUGCCCACCUCUUGCGGUGGCCUGCGAGGCCAUCAGCGUGGCCCUCUCCGCGUGAAGCCCCCUGCUCCUCCACCAUUAGCGCCCGACGUCUUCGUCCCCCGCGCCUUGUUGAUGCUGUAGGCCAUGAGCUCGCGGAUACCACGCGGACGCCAAGGCCAAGACCAUCCCCGGGCAGGACCUCGUGUACAUCUACACUGCCAAGACCGGACCGACAAGUACCCAGACGUCGCGUGUACCACUAUCGUCGACCUCAACAUCUACGAAAACUGGACCAUCUACCGUCGCCCGAAGACCCGUGUACCAUUACCGACGCCGUGUACGACUACUUCCACUACCGCCGCCGCCGUGUACGACUACUUCCACUACCGUCGCCACGUGAACAACUACUUCCCACGACGACCUGUGAGCGUCUACUUCCAUCUACACCGCAUCGAACCCGAACCGCUCCGAAAACGCACGCUUCGAAGGUAUAAGACCCGAGAUGACCAACCGUGAACGAAUGCUUGAGUGUUGUAUGAGUUGUACCCUAUGUUUGCACCGUGAUCGAAUCGUCCUUGCGAUGCCCCUCUUUUGCCAUGCCACCGUCCCGUGGGAACCCGGUAGUCGGGAGCACCCCACCAUCUCUAGCAUGUUGCGCUCAUCCGCACGCUUCCUUUUGCACCGGUAUCUCCGUGAGCUACCGGAACCGAUAUGUUGCCGUGGCAUCAUUUUCGGAUAUGUUGCCGUGGCACCAUUUCCAUUUCACCGCCGUGGCACAUUUUCGUUAUCGCUGCCGUGGCACCCCUUUUGUUCCGCCAUGGUGACCAAAUGCCUCGUAUCAUGCUCAUGUUAACAUUUUCAUAAAAUUGCAUAAACUUGUAUAUGUCAUCCGCAUCAUGAUAACAACAUUUAAAUGCUUAAAAUUGUGUUUGCUUUAAACUACUAAAUGACAUAUGGGGAUUUUCCGGAAUUGUUGUUUGUUAUUUCCGGCCUCAUUUAAACUUGCCUAAAUAGUUAGUUUAAUUAUGCUUCACCUCUUGCCAUGUUUAACAACAUUUAAUAUUGCUGUGUUCCUAACCGAGAGUUAAACUAAAUAAUUGAUGUGGUGUUCCAUCAAUAUGCAACUCGUUGCAUAUUGAGCUCCACUUAACUUGUAGUGUUGUUUGUUGCACUUUGCCAUGCCAUGCCUCAUUAAACCGGACAUGCAUCAUACUUGAUUGUGCAUCAUGCCAUGAUUAUGCUUGUGUGUUUACCAUGUUGUUUGCUUCUUUCCGGUUUGCUUCUCUCGUUAGCUUCGGUUUGGUUCCGGAGUUGUGAGGAUUCGUUCGACUACGUUCGUUUGUCUUCUUCAUGGACUCGUUCUUCUUCCUAUCGGGAUUUCAGGAAAGAUGACUAUUACCCUCGAUAUCACUUCUAUCUUUGCUUGCUAGUUGCUUCGUUCUAUUGCUAUGCUGCGCUACUGAUCACUUGUUUACCAUGCCUCCCAUAUUGCCAUGCCAGCCUCUAACCUUUUUCGCCCCUCCUAGCAAUCCGUUGUUUGGCUAUGUUACCGCUUUUGCUCAGCCCCUCUUAUAGCAUUGUUAGUUGCAGGUGAAGUUGAAGAUUGCUCCAUGACGGACAGGAUUAUGUUGGGAUAUCACAAUAUCUCUUAUAUUUAAUUAAUGCAUCUAUAUACUUGGUAAAGGGUGGAAGACUCGGCCUUAUGCCUGGUGUUUUGUUCCACUCUUGCCGCCCUAGUUUCCGUCAUAUCGGUAUUAUGAUCCCGGAUUUUGCGUUCCUUACGCGGUUGGGUGAUUUAUGGGACCCCCUUGACAGUUCACUUUGAAUAAAACUCCUCCAGCAAGGCCCAACCUUGGUUUUACCAUUUGCCUACCUAAGCCUUUUUCCCUUGGGUUCUGCAGACUCAAGGGUCAUGUUUAUUUUACCCCCCGGGCCAGUGCUCGUCGUGAGUGUUGGUCCAACCUGUCAACCGCCGGUGGCCACCAGGGGCAACUCUGGGCUGGCCUACCGGAAGUUUGGACAAUCCGGUGUGCCCUGAGAACGAGAUAUGUGCAGCUCCUAUCGGGAUUUGUCGGCACAUCCGGGCGGCUUUGCUGGUCUUGUUUUACCAUUGUCGAAAUGUCUUGCGAACCGGGAUUCUGAGGCUGAUCGGGUCUUCCCGGGAGAAGGUAUAUCCUUCGUUGACCGUGAGAGCUUGUGAUGGGCUAAGUUGGAACACCACUGCAGGGUAUUUUAUCUUUCGAAAGCCGUGCCCGCGGUUAUGAGGCAGAUGGGAAUUUGUUAAUGUCCGGUUGUAGAUAACUUGACACCAGAUCCGAAUUAAAACGCAUCAACCGCGUGUGUAGCCGUGAUGGUCUCUUUUCGGCGGAGUCCGGGAAGUGAACACGGUUUUGGGUUAUGUUUGACGUAAGUAGGAGUUCAGGAUCACUUCUUGAUCAUUGCUAGCUUCACGACCGUUCCAUUUGCUCUCUUCUCUCUCUUAUUUGCGUAUGUUAGCCACCAUAUUUGCUUAGUGCUAGCUGCAACUCCACCUCAUUACCCCUUCCUUUCCCAUAAGCUUAAAUAGUCUUGAUCUCGCGGGUUUUGAGAUUGCCGAGUCCUCGUGACUCACCAGAUACUAUCACAACAGUUGCAGGUGCCGAUGAUACCAGUGCAGGUGAUGCAACCGAGCUCAGAUGGGAGCUCCACGAAGACCUUGGUCGUUGCUAUGUUUCGUUUCUUGUCGAUCAGUAGUGGAGCCCAGUUGGGACGAUCGGGGAUCUAGCAGUUGGGUUAUCUUCUUUUCUUUUGGUUUCGUCCGUAGUCGGACUAUGUGUGUACUCUAAAUGAUGUAUGAUUUAUUAUAUGUUCAUUGUGUGAAGUGGCGAUUGUAAGCCAACUCUUUAUCCCAUUCUUGUUCAUUACAUGGGAUUGUGUGAAGAUGACCCUUCUUGUGACAAAACCACCAUGCGGUUAUGCCUCUAAGUCGUGCUUCGACACGUGGGAGAUAUAGCCGCAUUGUGGGUGUUACACUGUUAAAAUUUAUCGGUUACAAAAACCACUCGGCAUUCCGAGGCAAAUUUAAAGCAUCAAGCAUAUAAGUUUUUUACCCCUCCUAUGGAGGGCUAGAAGGCGCAACGAACUCAUCUAGGUCGAUUCCAUCUGCGAUCCAAGUGGCAGCAGUGAUGAAGGUCUCCAUGAAGGAUCGGAAGUCAUGCUUCUUGGUAUUGGCCACCUUGAGAGUUGCCAGCUUGUCCUCUCGCGCAUCCUUGCAGUGAACACGGACCAGAGGUAGAGCAACGUCGGCACCACACCUGGAAGAAGACUUCUUCCAUUCUUGCAGUCGACUUGGAACUUCGUUCAGUCGAGCCAUCAGAGACUCAAGGUCAUUCUGAAGUGCUUCUCCUGGCCAGAGCGCCGUGUCGAUGCAUGACGUCGCAACCUUCAGCCUUGCAAGAUAGUCGACAACGGCAGCAAUGCGAGACUCGAGUCGGAGCACGUUCAUGGCAGUUUCAUCCUUCACAAGAGAGUUGAUGGGAUCUAGGCUCGUCUCCAGUUGACCAGUCUCCUCCUCAAAGUUCUGGCAGAACUCUGUAGACACAACGCCAAAGUUAAGGCAGCAGUUUGGUGGUGAGGCCAAAAUUAAAAAGCCUGUCAGAUAGAAAGGGUUACCUUCAAGCAUGAGGAAUAGCUUCUUGGCGAUUCCUCCCAGAUAAGCCUCCAGAUCAUUCUUCUUUCCCACCAGUUCGCUAGCUUUGUCACUCAGGACCAUCUUGUCAUUCUUCAGUCGAGUGACCUCCUGGUUGGCCACGUCGAGAGCAGCUUUCAGAUUAGUAUUUUCCUCUUCAAGUUUGCUGAUUGAAGCCAACUUUUCUUCUGCGAGCCUGGUCUUCUCGGAAGCUGCUUUCUACACCUCAGCAAGGUCAAGAUCCUUCUUCUUCAGAGAAUCCCUCAGUUUAUCUGUAAAAUCACAGUAAGAUCAGACUCGGGGAUGGAUAAGAAGCAAAGGUAGUCGUCAAGAUCCUCACCAAACAUACCUUUUGCCUCCUCCUUCGCCUUCGUGAAGUUCUCCUGGACAAGCUUCAGAUCAAGUUCGAGCUAGAUAUGCUUGUUCUCCAAUUCAGUAUAACAAGCUGUAAGCUCGCAAGAUUUCUGCGAAGAACCAAUCGACAGACGUCAAAGAUAGGUCACUUCCGAGUGACUAAGAGAAAAAUCAUAGUAUUUCUAAGACUACAGCCGAAUCUAAAUAUUCACCAGAUCGAGUGAAGACAGUAAUGAGAAAAAAGCUCAAGACAUAAAGACUAUGGUCAACUGCCAGCAGUCGACCAUAGCCUUGGGGACUACACCCAGUGGGUGCACUCAGCGUGCCCCCACCAAUCCAGAAUCUCAAUCAACACACCCAGUGGGCGUACGACAGACACUAAGAUUUUCAGAAAGAAAAGUUUUCAGGUACCAUAUCCUAACAGAACAGGCAGUGACCGACCAACCUGGACAUUGCUCUGAAGGGCUGAACUGGCGUCAAAAGCCGCUUGACUGGCGUCUCGGAUCGCCUUCACUUGAUCCAUCAUGACCCCCGCCUGGCGUAUGGCUUCUUUAGCAGCGCUUGCUUGGUCUUCGGGGACGUGGUGGGUAGAGAAAAGUGAAGGCUGACCAGCACUCGACGAAGAAGGGCGAGCACUCGUCAGCGGCACCGCAAAGGAUACGGUAGGCCGAGUGACGUUGUCCCCCUCCGCAACCAACGUCUCAGGUGCUGAUACGACCUGAGCUGUCUAGCCAGCAGACGCUCUCCUAUUCCUCCUCUGCCUCAGUGGUUCCUCGUCUUCAUCAUCGUCAGGAAGAUCAAUGAUGAUAUUAGAUGGAGCUGCAGAAAAGAGUCAAAGUUAAAAACGAAGAUCCCACCGACUGAAAAUGAAACCUCAAAGGUCAUACCAGGGUUGGAAGUGACGGCAUCCUCCAUUUCUUGAUCUUCAGGUCUGGCCGAGGUAUCAGAAGUAGCAGCACUGCAGUUUCAGAAAUCAGUCGGUCAGCUAACGAAUCGACCAAAAAUAAAUCCAUGAGAAACAAGAGGACACAAGUUAUGUCAUUACCCAAAAAUAAAUCCAUGAGAAACAAGAGGACACAAGUGUAGCCCAUCUCUAUAUCUGUUGUUCAGGGUUCAACAGGUGUAUGUUUGAUAGAUCUUGUAGAGCAUUAUCGUUUGGAAAUUUAGCCAGAAGCCAUAAAGCUAUGCUAAGUAACCAAUUUAUGCAUGUCCAGCCUUAAAAUCUAGUGUUAAAUAUUAUUCAGUAUAAUUUGUAUUGUUGUUUGGUUUAGAUUAGAUGUUUGGCAACUAUCUUUUUGAGUUAAAGCCACCUAUAAUCCUCCCACAAAUUUUUUUAACUGCCCCAAAUUUGAGCAGGAUAGGUGAGCUCUCAUGAUGCUCGAUUUUUUGAUCUGUUUAAUGAUGUUAUAUGGCAUAUGGCAAAUAACUAGUGGAAUAUAGUUUAUUUGCAGUGACGUUCAUUUUUGAUCUAUUUAAGUAUGGAACUUUUGAUCAGCUGUUAAGCAUUUGGUAAACUCUAUGACAUGAUGUACACAACCACAAAUCUUUAUGGCAAUUAGAUUGCAGUAUGGUAUUUGUUUCUUGUAUGAAUGAUUAUAUGUCAUCGUACAUGUAGAUGAUAUGUUCUUAUUUUGACUGGACAUGAGGGGGAGCAAGGUGGCUGGAGAUGGGAAAACGAUGAGGCUUUGUUUGGUAGAAGUGGAAUGGGGAGGUUUGGGGAGGGCUGGUGGUGGCUGUAGGUAGGUGAUGUAUCCUUUCCGCAUCCUCAUGGCCAGCAUCGUUAUAUUCCUAGAUAGAAACAAUACAUCCAGAUCCAAUAUUCUUCUUCUAAUUAUAAUUACAUCUGAAAAAAGCAUACCCCUAGAUAGAUAAAUGGAUGGAUGAAUUUGUGUGUCAUCUUUGAUUUUCUAAGUUGACUGACAUGAAUUCAGAAUUGAAGAGGAGGCCCGGGUAGAAUUAAUGUCAGAUGAGCCAAACUGAAUGUGCUUAUUUCCGAAUAAUGUUCAGUCAGAAAAAACUUGAACCAAAACUGAAUAACCUACGGUCAUAAGGAAAUUCUUUGUUUGGAAACUGAUUGUCUAUCUAGAAUGUUGCAGUUGUGGCACUACAUGAUCUUACUAAUGCUGUCUUUUCUACUCAAUGUGGCUGUAUUUUCUUGGUGGUAUCACGCAGAUUGGUUCUUAUUUAUGUGGUCUAUUUUUUUAUCUAGCUAGCUAGCUAACUUGCUCCAUUUCCAUUGAACUGAAUCUAUGUAAUAGACCUUGCUAACUUGUUCUCCCUCCAUACAUCAAAAAAAAACUUGUUCUCCCUCCAUGGACCUUGCAGCCUCUUCCACAUUCCACCACCAUCAGCCUCCUUAACCCCAACCGAAGAGCUGGCCUUUUCCCCAGUAAGAUGUAACUUUUGUUCAGAGUAAUGAUUUCAGUUCAGUCUGCAUAGUUCAGCUUCAUAGAGAAGAUAAUGAUUUCUGUUUUUUAGCCUACUGCAAUUGUUUAGAGUAAUGUGUGGACAAAAUUUAGGUUUUGUCCCACAUCACAUUGCAUUGUUUGGAGGUUUUGUACAUCAGCUUCCUUUUUGAUCUUCUUAUUUAAACUUGUUGCAGUACGUGUGACACAUGACGCCUAACUACUUAACUAAUUUUCUGCUAAUUCAGCUCACACGGCGCUGUGGUACGCGGAUGUCGCUGCAGAGUAGAGAGAUACCCCUAGAAGUCGCCUUCCUGUCCACCUCUUCAGAAGUGCCACCGCCUCGGACACGACGACAUUAGAACCCAGUUCCUAUCAUAGAGAUAUGGGGUCAGGAAAACCCAUCAGUUCAUUUAUUCCUGCUAGUUAAACUUGGGCUGUUAUAGAGAUAUGCAGGCCCAUCUAAUUACAUGUUACUCUCAAACUGUUUGAGCAAUAUGCAGUGAUGUUAGUCUGUAAUGCAUUGACAAUGGCCGCUACUUCAGGCGUUGCUAGCUGCAUUUCUCUACUGCCCUGUUGUUUUGUAGGUGACGCCCUUAGUUUUGCUACUUUGCAUAUUCUGGGAGCAAUUACAGUGAGGUUAUAUGUGAUUUUUGUUCACUUAAUAUCUACACUGCUCUUCCUUGCAUAAUUUGAUGUCGUUUUACUUGGAAAGAUUGCAUUUUUAUUUGUUUGCACUAUCUUAUCUAAAUAUGUCAGUUCCUGUCAGGGGUUUCAAGGGGUUUUGAGGGGAUUGGGUGGAAAAAGAGAUUCACCCAAUCCCCUGAAAUUCCCCCUCCCCAAACCUCCCCAUUCCACCUCUACCAAACAAAGCCUGAAGGAGAGGCGAAGGGGUAAGUCACUAGCGCACGCAAAAUCGUCGCCACCCAGCCCAAAGUCUAGCUAGCACUACUUGCCCAAUCUCGUGUGUAUAAGAGCAUGUACAACGGCAUCUAAUCGGCUGUCUAUAACGUAUGCCACCUAAGAUUUUUGAUUACGUGGAGGAGAGAGAGCUAGGAGAGAGACAGAGGGUGUCGUUAAUUUUGCACUAAGGAUAUGGUUGAUAGAAGGCACUGGCACAUGGAUGAUGGUGUUACUUGUAGGCUAUGCCCCCUUCAAGUGAGAGAAACCAGAGACCAUCUCUUCUUCAACUGCAAUUUCAGUGUCAGAGUUUGGAAUUAUUUGCAGAUUAAUUGGUCGGCUGGAACUUCAAUGUCUGACCUAGUCAUCCAGGCAAGGAGAAGUUUUGAUAAGCCCUUUUUCAAUGAAGUAGUAUUUAUUGCCUGCUGGAAUAUCUGGAUCAUCAGAAAUGCCAAAGUGUUCAGAGGUGAGAGGGCAAGUUUCAACAAAUGGAGAGGAGCUUUCAGGCAUGACAUUACUGUAAUGCAGCAUAGAAUCAAAUCUGGAUACAAGGAUGAGUUACUCAAGUGGAUUUCUUUCUUGCCGCCUUAAGUUUUAGCCUUUUCUUUAUUUUAUUUUGUUUUUCUCCUUUCCUUUCGGUUACCUCUUGUAAUCAUGUUGUUGUAACUGUUGUCUGGCUUUAAUAAAGUCUUGAUAUGCUGUGGGGGUUUUACCCCACAGUUCACAGUCAAUUUUUUUUUUGCAGACGGUCGAUAUCCCAACAAUCUCGCUACUUACCGAUAGCCUCGUCCCCGUUGUACGCUCAGGCGUCGUUAACUUGCGGUUUGCAUGCAUCAGUCUCCCACGUUCUGGCCAAGAAGUACAACAAAGGAUGGAGGUUCGCAUGCAGCAGCCUGCCCACGAUCGACGUGCUACAGAUAGCAAAAAACAGACUAUUGUAGAUGAUGUUGUUACUGCUAUCUAUAGAUGACGUGUACGAUCAUUACAGACUGCAAGUGUCUAAUGUACAUGCCCUAAUUGCUCUACGGAUAGCCAAACCAAAGCCAGAUAAUUACUCCUAUGGGGUACCUGCCUCCCGGGGGAUUCGCGGGCAAGAGUGCCCUUCGCGCCUUUCAUUUGGCGGUGGCGUGCCAUCGGGGAUCUUCGCGUCGUCCGAUCUGUCCGGGCAGCGUGCCUCAGGGUUCCGUGACGGGUGGACCGGGCGUGAUCGUAGGCCGUCAGCGGGUGGUUUCGUCUGCAUUGGAGUGCGUCCUCUUGGCAUCAGGGGAGUCCGUACCUGCCUGUCGGCGUCUUCGGCCACGGGGCUGGUUCAUGCGCCUCCCUGGAGUUCUUCACAACAUCUGAUCUACCUGGACGUCGAGCACCCGUGCAGCGUGCCUCUGUGUUCACGAUGGUUAGUGUUAAACCUAAAUAAUUUUUGUGGUUAUUAAGGAAUAAUCCCCGCUCCUUUCUAGAUGUACGGUUGCACACUUCCAGCAACCGUCACGUCGGUUCCUGGAAUGGCAUCUCUAUGGACCAUCGUGUCCCUCCGAGGCAACUGUUCCCAUUGUAUAUAAGUGCUCAUUCAUCGUCAAUAAAGUGUGGUUCGAGUCAUUUGUUCCUUUGUCUCUCUCGAUACAAUUCUAUUCAUCACACAUUAUCAGCACGCUCCCGACUGAGCGAUUCCAGCGUGGAGAGCCCUUCCCGGGCGGCGGCGGCCGAGGCCACGGCUCUCAUCCGACCCUCUGCAGCGACUCCCUCCGCCAACGGCGGCGCCCAUAUCGACGGUCUUCAUCGGCACGGUCUUCUAUGACGACAACGCUCUCGGGCGUGGCGGCACCGGAGUGGCCAAGGACAAGGCCAUCCAACCUUCCAGCGCGGGCGGACCAUGAGCGGCCGUGGUGGCUGUAGCGGCGACGCCCUCGGGCGUGGAAAACGGCGGCCCUCACCCCGGCAGAAGAGCUUCCAUGCGGCAACCUCGCCUCGUGAAUGAAGAACAGGGCAUUGGCGUCCAUCUAUCUGGAAAGAUCGAGAGGAAAAUCAAGGGAUCAAGGAAUGAAUCGGAGUCAUACCUUGAUUUCAUUGCUACAAGGUGCUUCUUUCCGAUUUAUUAACGCAUAUACUAAUUGCUAUCUGAAAUUAGUACCUGUAGCCCUCGUCAUUGCAGCGCACGCAUCGGCUGCCCUCAGCCAUGCGACAACACAGAGGCAUCGAGCCCUUGACGCACCAGCGGCCGGCGUCGGCGAAGACGACUAGCGCAGGGCCGCGCCUCACGCCCUCGUCGCCACGCGGUCGUCCGCGCUGCUGGACUCGCGCCCUCCGCGCCGCCGUGGCAACAAGCGGCAACGACCUCCGGCCGGCAAGCUCAUCUCAAGUGGCCGCGACGGCGUUGGUGGUUUGCUACGAAUCAAUCGAUUGGGUUUUAACCACACGAACAGAUAGAGAGAUAGUGAAUCUUAUCCUUUUGUGACACUUCAAUUUAGUCUUCCAACUUUAUUGUAUGUCCGGAUAAGCCCUUGCAUUUCUUCCGUUGGGACCUCUGGCUUGAUGUGUCUUGCGGAUUAGUCCAUAGAUUAUUCUGUACGAUGCAAAUCAGCCUACGGCUUACUGUAAGUUGCAGUUUAGGCUUUCUCUCUACUGCAAAUUUUACUUUGAAAGAUCUCAUAUCUCUUUAUAUCACAUUUACAAUAUGUAAAUGAUGAUUUCAGAUAUACUUUGUGAAAAUGGGACAUGUUCAAUGUAUUUGCUCUCUAGCAAUUCCUAUAACAUGUUAUGCAUUGCCAUUGAGAUUACGUUUUCUCGCACAACAAUAUUGAUUUGCGAUUGAGGAAAAAAUCUCACAAAAUAAUUGAAGUUGAGAUCGAUUUUCUCUCGCAAAAUAUUAGUUCACUUCACUAAAUUAUCUUGCAAUUUGAUACAAGAUCUCAUUUAAUUUGAGAUCUAUACAAUUCAAGUUUUUCACUUGAGCAUCAAGUUUGCAACA
rnacentral:lncRNA from 1 species